CUUCCAACACACAGGGCGUGGCUGGGAGCCGGCCACCUCCCCGGCCAGCACACAGGCCUCGGCAGAGCCCGAAGGGAUCCCCGGGAUGGUUCCCUGAGCGCCCGUGGUCAGGCACCAAGUCCAUGGUGAAGAUGGAGGUAGCACAACUGCAUUCAUGAGACGUGUUUCCCAAAAAGUGAUUCUGUAGAACAGUCACCCUAGAACAGCUCAGACUUCCACGACGGGUCUGCCGGGAGCCCCCCUGUCCCACACCAAGUCACAGCCACUGCUGACGGGAGGGAACGUCCCUUUGCACCUCGGACGCACCACGUCCGACAGACAGUAACCAGCAGACACUCGUUUCCCCACUGUGUGAAACAAGAUGGUGCCUCGGCUGGUUCUGCUUUGAAAGUCUCACGUUCAGAUUUUAAAUAGACUUUCCUUCAAAACAACAGACAAAUGUAAAAGCAAUACCCAUGUGUGGACAAAAUUUCCCAAGAUGGAAGACAGAGGUCAGACAAAAAAA